rnacentral:rRNA from 1 species
UACGUAGGCAGCAAGCGUUGUUCGGAGUUACUGGGCGUAAAGGGUGCGUAGGCGGCUUCUUUAGUCUGGUGUGAAAUCUCCCGGCUCAACUGGGAGGGUGCGCCGGAUACUGAGGGGCUAGAGUGUGGGAGAGGAAAGUGGAAUUCCUGGUGUAGCGGUGAAAUGCGUAGAUAUCAGGAGGAACACCGGUGGUGUAAACGGCUUUCUGGACCAUAACUGACGCUGAGGCACGAAAGCGUGGGUAGCAAACAGG